rnacentral:misc_RNA from 1 species
AAACUACAGUUUUCUUGUCAUUUUAUUUAUCCCAUGUAUUUGCAUUUCUCCUUCUAGCUUGCAACCAGUAGUGCUGCUGAAAGCAGUAUAGUAUAAAUGCCACCCAUUACAUUUCUUAUGCUGUUGUGUUUGCAAAUUUGCCAUGUCUAAACUUGUUGGAAGUAGAAUGGUAACUUGUUUCCAACAGCUAGCGGGAGGAGUUUAGACAAGGUA